UACGAGUGGCAAAACAACGUUGGCAUGGAUCUGUUGGAGGAGAGGAGUUUGUGGUGGGCUCCCAGUGACAUCUCAUGGAGUGACGGUGAGAGCAUCUCAUAGGGUCUGGGGGAGCACCUGGAUGCACUUGGACCCGGAGCACCGCUUAAAGGAGGUGUCCCUCCCCGGUGCCCUCAAUCUGUCACAAGAA